AAAAGCAGAGUCACAGACAGCAGGAUAAAGUAGCUGCAGCUAGAUCUACAGAGACAGCAGACACCUGCUCAGGCAUCUCAUCAUCACCUCUGACCCUCAGUAAUGGCCUUCAUUUGGGCCUCUAAUCCUCCAAGUCUGAUGGCUCCAGGAUGACGAUAACACUGUCACAAGAGACCCAGCCUGAUCUGAACUGAAAGCUUCUGUGUGGUUACAGCAAAUGGAUAUGUCUAUAACUCUGUGACAUCAUCAGGAGAUCUGGAUCAAUGGACCUGAUGCUGCUUGUCAACAGUGCUGACUGUGAAAGAGGAUUCUCUGAAAUGAACAAUAUAAUAACGUCACAACAGACACAACUACAAAUCAACAAGGUCUCACCACUGAUGUUCAUUUCUUUGGUUGGGCCUCCUUUAGACCAGUGGGAUCCAGAAAAAUAUGUCAAGAAAUGGGUGCUUAAAAGAAGGUCAGCUGAUCACUUAGCCUGUCUGCAAAGUCCACUGGUGCUCACAGGACAAAUCAAUUUGAGAGUCAUUUUGAGCUGUAGGAUGAACCCCUGACCAACUAGUUGUACACCAGUGAGUAUUGCAUGGCUCUGCAAAAUGCUGUGGCAGACCUUUUGGUCCAGUGUGCCAAUCACUCUGCACAAGUCGUUAACUCUGGAUCCAGCAAAAGAGCCCCAGACCAUCACGCUUCCUCCUCCAUGCUUUUAUACAGACAGAGGGAUUGUAAGUAAUCAGCAAAAGUUGGGAGACCUGUAGGAAUUGUUUGCAUCAACUUUCAAGGCUUAAUUUACAUUCAUUGCUGCAGAAAAGCUGAGUUGUUGAUCCCUGAAAGAGGGCUUUUUUUGUGACUGAAAUUUACAUUACUUUUCAGUUUUGGUAACCUAAACUUUUGUUUUACCUCUGGAAGUUUACUGGAUACCUUUGUACAAUUCACUGGACUGUUUAAAUUUCAAUAAAAACUGGAAUGUGGGUGUCCUCUAA